ACCCCUACGGGGGGCAGCAGUGGGGAAUAUUGCACAAUGGGCGCAAGCCUGAUGCAGCCAUGCCGCGUGUGUGAAGAAGGCCUUCGGGUUGUAAAGCACUUUCAGUAGGGAGGAAAGGUUGUAGAUUAAUACUCUGCAGCUGUGACGUUACCUACAGAAGAAGCACCGGCUAACUCCGUGCCAGCAGCCGCGGUAA
rnacentral:rRNA from 1 species